AGCUCUGUAAGCGUAUACCAAAGUUGUUGCAGUUAAAACGCUCGUAGUCGGAACUUGGCGGAUGGUGAGCAACGUCUUCAUUGACGGUAGUUUUACCAAACGCCUUUGUGGAGGGUGGCCUACUGGUCCUUUACUGAAUCGAUAGGUCGCUGCCACCAUUUACUGUGAAAAAAUUAGAGUGUUCAAAGCAGGCGUUUGCCGUGAAUACAUUAGCAUGGAAUAAUAGAAUAGGACCUGGUCUCUAUUUUGUUGGUUUGUUAGAAUCAGGUAAUGAUUAAGAGGGAUGGUUGGGGGCAUUUGUAUUCCAGCGUCAGAGGUGAAAUUCUUGGAUUGUUGGAAGACAAACAGCUGCGAAAGCGUCUGCCAAGGACAUUUUCA
rnacentral:rRNA from 1 species